rnacentral:misc_RNA from 1 species
UUCCCGUAGGUGAACCUGCGGAAGGAUCAUUAUUGUAUAACCGAGGUGCGAGGGCUGUCGCUGACCCGAAAGGUCGUGCACGCCCGAGUGCCCUCACACACAUCCAUCUCACCCCUAUGUGCACCACCGCGUGGGUCCCCCUUUGGCUUGUUCGGAGGGGGGCUUACGUUUUCACACAAACUUUGUAUGCAGUGUAGAAUGUAUUUUUUGUUUUUGCGAUCACGCAAUCAAUACAACUUUCAACAACGGAUCUCUUGGCUCUC